rnacentral:rRNA from 1 species
AUCCUCGGGUCUCCCGCUCGCGGGAGGCUGCCCGCCGGAGUGCCGAAACCAAACUCUUGAUAUUUUAUGUCUCUCUGAGUAAACUUUUAAAUAAGUCAAAACUUUCAACAACGGAUCUCUUGGUUCUGGCAUCGAUGAAGAACGCAGCGAAAUGCGAUAAGUAAUGUGAAUUGCAGAAUUCAGUGAAUCAUCGAAUCUUUGAACGCACAUUGCGCUCGCCAGUAUUCUGGCGAGCAUGCCUGUUCGAGCGUCAUUUCAACCAUCAAGCUCUGCUUGCGUUGGGGAUCCGCGGCUGCCCGCGGUCCCUCAAAAACAGUGGCGGGCUCGCUAGUCACACCGAGCGUAGUAACUCUACAUCGCUAUGGUCGUGCGGCGGGUUCUUGCCGUAAAACCCCCCAAUUUCUAAGGUUGACCUCGGAUCAGGUAGGAAUACCCGCUGAACUUAAGCAUAUCAAUAAGCGGAGGAAAAGAAACCAACAGGGAUUGCCCUAGUAACGGCGAGUGAAGCGGCAACAGCUCAAAUUUGAAAUCUGGCUUCGGCCCGAGUUGUAAUUUGUAGAGGAAGCUUUUGGUGAGGCACCUUCUGAGUCCCCUGGAACGGGGCGCCAUAGAGGGUGAGAGCCCCGUAUAGUCGGAUGCCGAUCCAAUGUAAAGCUCCUUCGACGAGUCGAGUAGUUUGGGAAUGCUGCUCAAAAUGGGAGGUAAAUUUCUUCUAAAGCUAAAUACCGGCCAGAGACCGAUAGCGCACAAGUAGAGUGAUCGAAAGAUGAAAAGCACUUUGAAAAGAGGGUUAAAUAGCACGUGAAAUUGUUGAAAGGGAAGCGUUUGUGACCAGACUUGCGCCGUUCCGAUCAUCCGGUGUUCUCACCGGUGCACUCGGGACGGCUCAGGCCAGCAUCGGUUUUGGCGGGGGGACAAAGGUCCUGGGAA